AUCCAGAUGACGAGUCCCAAAUGGGACGAAACCUGCGUCCUGGGU
rnacentral:hammerhead_ribozyme from 1 species